GCCGGGAACAGCUGUUGCCACAGCCGGUGUAAUGGCGGUUCGCGUGGCUGCAGCUACAAACGCGGCUCCUAUUCCCGCUGCUCUUGAGCAGCUCCCGAUUGCUACGCUUCAUGCUGCUUCCACCAGUCACAACAGGCAGAAAAGAAGAACGUACUCAUGAAGCCUGAGACGGAAGCCUGAAGCCACUUCCGUCUCAAGUGACAAUGCUGGCAGUGUCACUACCAGGUUAAGAACAGUAUAUUGUGUUUGUUUGCCUUACUUCCAGGUUUGCCUGCUGCCCAGCUGCCUGGCCUACAGUGUGCAAGAUUUAAAAAUGCAGAAAGAUUACAAAUGUUCAGCUCCUGCCUCUGGUUGCUGAAGGCUCCGUGUUUCCCUGCCUCCUGCAAGUGUCUCACCUCUUUCUCAAUUCAGGUGUUAGAAUCUCCCGCCAUGAGAUGCUGGAUGAUGAUGUCAUCACCUCCAGUCCAUGUUUUCAGCUCUUGGUAAAUUUAACUUUCCAUUGUUAGUAACAGGGUCCAAGGGCUCCCUGAUACAGGAACUAAGAGGAGAGGUAUGGAAUGACACAGGAAGUCAGCAAUCAUAUUCUUGUUUCUGGGUUGAUGCUCUACUGAGAAACAAAAAGGCUGUAACGCCAGUGACCAAUGAAUUAUACAUGCCUUGUCAGUUUUUGCUGACUGUAGCCAUCUUAAUGGUGCAUGGUCCGUGAUUAAUAUAAAUGUUCUCCCUAGCAAAUAAUAUCUAAAAAUCUCCACCCCCCACCUGAUGGCCAAACACUCCCUCUCUGUGGUAAAAUACCUAACCUCAGCUCUUGAAAAUUGCUUGCUGGCAUAAGCUAUGGAUCUUUCUUCUCCUUGUACUCUUUGGAAUAAGACCGCUCCCAGAGCACUUCCUGAAGCAUCUGUUUGUAAAUAAAAUACUUCUUGGAAA